ACUCCUACGGGAGGCAGCAGUGGGGAAUAUUGCACAAUGGGCGCAAGCCUGAUGCAGCCAUGCCGCGUGUGAUGAAGAAGGCCCUUCGGGUUGUAAAGUACUUUCAGCAGUGAGGAAGGUGGGUAUGUUAAUAGACAUACCUCAUUUGACGUUAGCUGCAGAAGAAGCAACCGGACUAACUCCGUGCCAGCAGCCGCGGUAAUACGGAGGGUGCGAGCGUUAAUCGGAAUUACUGGGCGUAAAGCGCAUGCAGGUGGUUUGUUAAGUCAGAUGUGAAAG
rnacentral:rRNA from 1 species